rnacentral:sRNA from 1 species
CUGGGUGAGCGCGCCGGGCCUGGACUUGGGCCUUUCUAGAACCCGCAAAUGGUGAAAAGCGUUCCACAAACGUUAAAUAAGCAGUAUGGAGGAGGGGACAGUACUUGUGCCAGGCCAGGGCGGGGGCAGCGGGCGGAACAGCACUGUUCCUUCUCUCCAGUUCACCUUACAGGUGGAUCAAUCUUCCUGUCCUACAACUGACCAAGGAUCCCCUAAAGACCCCUGGAAGGCUGGACCAUGGCACAAGAACUGCCUUCAUCCAUCACCGGGAGCAAGUGUGGAAGAGAUGCAUCAACAUUUGGCGUGAUGUGGGCCUUUUUGGGGUGCUAAAUGAAAUUGCAAACUCAGAAGAAGAGGUGUUUGAGUGGGUGAAGACGGCAUCCGGCUGGGCCCUGGCACUCUGUCGAUGGGCCUCUUCCCUCCAUGGGUCCCUGUUCCCCCAUCUCUCUCUCAGGAGCGAAGAUCUGAUCGCUGAAUUUGCCCAAGUCACAAAUUGGUCCAGCUGCUGCUUGCGUGUCUUUGCAUGGCACCCCCACACCAACAAGUUUGCAG